UGACCUCGAAUCAGGUAGGACUACCCGCUGAACUUAAGCAUAUCAAUAAGCGGAGGAA
rnacentral:rRNA from 2 species